UACGAAGGGGACUAGCGUUGUUCGGAAUUACUGGGCGUAAAGCGCACGUAGGCGGAUUUGUAAGUCAGGGGUGAAAUCCCGGGGCUCAACCUCGGAACUGCCUUUGAUACUGCAAAUCUCGAGUCCGAUAGAGGUGGGUGGAAUUCCUAGUGUAGAGGUGAAAAUUCGUAGAUAUUAGGAAGAACACCAGUGGCGAAGGCGGCUCACUGGUCCGGUACUGACGCUGAGGAGCGAAAGUGUGGGGAGCGGAACAGGA
rnacentral:rRNA from 1 species